AAAAGUAAAGGGGAUUGAAAUUAUAUUUUCUUGUUCCAUUUUAAUUUAGCUGACAUAGAAUUGUGACCAAUUGGUACAUAGACAACGCCAUUUCUGACCUGAAGGGGAAAUGAGAAUAGGAGUUCAGUCUGUAUAUAUCCAACUUGGAUGUCCACUAAAACUAAACCCAUCUGUCAUGUAUAUGAACUGUGAUCCUAUUAACUUUACGUCAGAAAAAUACCAGGUUGCUUAAAAGGGUGGAUUUCACCGAUUUGAAAUUCAGCUUGUUUUCUUGGUUAUGAGCUAAAAGCUUCUACUGAUAGGCUGAAAAGUAAAUCACUUGACCAUAUCAAUUUACAUCAAUCAAAAACACUUCUGGUUGCCAAUGCCGUUAGGAUUUGUCUGCAGCUCCUGCUGUUCUUGGCUAGCGGAUCAGAUGGACUUUUGGGCAAAAGGAUACCUUCAACUCACUUGUAUAUUUAUUAUUAUUCAAUGUUCUCCUUUGUUUUUAGAUAUGCUUUAUGAUUUUGAUGUUGUUUCUUUUGCCGUGAUCUGAAAUAAGUUCUGGUUUAGUUAUCUGUUUUCGUUUUUGUUAGGAUAGGAAAACUACACAGAUGGUCAUGCUCUCAAUCCUUCUUUGUUUAACUUGAUUUUUGUUUCUCAGGUUAAUCAUGUAAUCCUUACAUAGAUAUUUCAGAAGCAUAUCACAGGAUUUCUCCGCUUGAACUGGGAAUGAUAAAUCUCCGCAACUGUAUUUCUUCUUUGUUCCCAUAUAUCCAGUCGUCCAAGAUUGACCUAUUAGUUAGACUUACGGAGUUUUUGAGUAGGUGCACUAUUUUUUUACAGGGUAAGUGUUGGUUUUCAGUAUCCUGUGGGACUGAAGCAUUUCAUUGUCAAAUUUUGAAAGCAUACCAUCUAUCGGUGAGAUUAUCUCACAACCAUGUCAUGUUCCAUGCUCCAGGACAUGCUGAAGAAACUGCAACUUCCCAAUCAAAUAACAGUCAGAGCACAAGAUAUAUGGUUCUGAGUGAAAGGAAAAUACUGAAAAACUAUAGCCAGAAUGGGCUUGUCAUUGAAGAUUAUGCUACCGCUUCUAUGU